rnacentral:rRNA from 1 species
CGGACGUGAGGAACCUGCCUUCAAGAGGGGGACAACAGUUGGAAACGACUGCUAAUACCGCAUGACACAUAGAGAUCGCAUGGUUUUUAUUGUCAAAGAUUUAUCGCUGAAAGAUGGCCUCGCGUCUGAUUAGCUAGUUGGUGAGGUAACGGCCCACCAAGGCGACGAUCAGUAGCCGGACUGAGAGGUUGACCGGCCACAUUGGGACUGAGAUACGGCCCAG